rnacentral:tRNA from 1 species
CGGAAAGUUGCACAGCUUGGUAGUGCGCCUGGUUUGGGACCAGGAUGUCGCAGGUUCAAAUCCUGUCUUUCCGACCA